AUUGCAUCGGGCUAACUUUUCCUUUCUUUUCGUUUUCUAUACAGGGCAGGCUUUCUCGUAGCUGGACUUUCAGUCAGUUAUAAAGUGAUACAAACUUGUGAGACAGAGAGAGACGCAGAGAGGAAUGGAGCAAUGGCCACAUGUCCCCUGGAGAAUAAAUCACCUUGAUGUGGGCCAGGGGCACCUGAGAGGGAGGGAGGGAGAGAAACUUGGCUGAAAUGGAAAAGCUUUGAUGGUUAUUGUCUGGGAAAGCUGCCUACUUUUAAGUCAUUAACUUCAUGUUGUAGUCAUCCAGGUCAGUGCAGCAUUACCAACAAGCUGCCACACGAACAAAAGAAACACCAUGUCCGCUUUUGACCAGUCCAAAGCAGACCAGCAUUGACCAGGGACGAUGUGACAUGACAUCAAAGACGGUUAAGAAAGGACAGUAGGAAGUUGCUGACAUUUCAGUCUUUAUGGGUCCCGUUUGACUGGUCCUCAGCAAACCAGACGGGAAGAUUUAUGAGACUUGCGACUACAUGAGUCACUCUGGCUUCAAACAGUUUGCAUGCACCUCCUGUCUCCCUAUAUCAGUCUUCCUCUCUGUGGGGAUGUGUGCCGAGAUCGUAUCAGAGGGACGUCAGUCACCGACUUCGUCUGGCUGACUACGAGGGCAGGGAUCGAUGGGAGAACUCUCUCAAGGUAGCAGGAGGGUGACUUAUGUGUGUGGUGUUUUUGGCCAAAAGGAACUUCUGAACCAAGCUAAAUCAAUUUUCCAUUUUUGAUCAUCAAGAGGAGACAGAGAGGUGUGUGUGUGUGUGUGUGUGUGGAGAGAGGAGGGCUAACUGCAGCAGAAAGAAAGAUGUUGGGCUCAGAAGAUAAAAUAAUCAUCUCUGUGUCUGUGUGUUCCACUCAAACCCCCCCUUCACAGUCACCUGCACACAUCACUUCUGUCUAUCUGAUUGGGCGAAUCAGCAUUGAAAGCCUUCCUGAGUUUGUAUGAUGAUACGUCCAAAAAUGUAUGCACAACACUGGAGCAUCUUAUAAA